AGCUAACGCAUUAAGUGCCCCGCCUGGGGAGUACGGCCGCAAGGCUAAAACUCAAAAGGAAUUGACGGGGGCCCGCACAAGCGGCGGAGCAUGCGGAUUAAUUCGAUGCAACGCGAAGAACCUUACCAAGGCUUGACAUGAACCGGAAAUACCUGGAAACAGGUGCCCCGCUUGCGGUCGGUUUACAGGUGGUGCAUGGUUGUCGUCAGCUCGUGUCGUGAGAUGUUGGGUUAAGUCCCGCAACGAGCGCAACCCUCGUUCUAUGUUGCCAGCGCGUUAUGGCGGGGACUCAUAGGAGACUGCCGGGGUCAACUCGGAGGAAGGUGGGGACGACGUCAAAUCAUCAUGCCCCUUAUGUCUUGGGCUUCACGCAUGCUACAAUGGCCGGUACAAAGGGUUGCGAUACUGUGAGGUGGAGCUAAUCCCAAAAAGCCGGUCUCAGUUCGGAUUGGGGUCUGCAACUCGACCCCAUGAAGUCGGAGUCGCUAGUAAUCGCA
rnacentral:rRNA from 1 species